UACGAAGGGGGGCUAGCGUUGCUCGGAAUCACUGGGCGUAAAGGGUGCGUAGGCGGGUCUUUUAAGUCAGGGGUGAAAUCCUGGAGCUCAACUCCAGAACUGCCUUUGAUACUGAGGAUCUUGAGUACGGGAGAGGUGAGUGGAACUGCGAGUGUAGAGGUGAAAUUCGUAGAUAUUCGCAAGAACACCAGUGGCGAAGGCGGCUCACUGGCCCGUAACUGACGCUGAGGCACGAAAGCGUGGGGAGCGAACAGG
rnacentral:rRNA from 1 species